UACGUAGGGGGCUAGCGUUGUCCGGAUUUAUUGGGCGUAAAGAGCGUGUAGGCGGCCAGAUAGGUCUGCUGUGAAAACUCGAGGCUCAACCUCGAGCUGUCGGCGGAAACCAUUUGGCUAGAGUCCGGAAGAGGAGAGUGGAAUUCCUGGUGUAGCGGUGAAAUGCGCAGAUAUCAGGAAGAACACCUAUGGCGAAGGCAGCUCUCUGGGACGGUAC
rnacentral:rRNA from 1 species